GUGACUCAGGGGUAGAGCACUUGCCUGGUAUGCAUGAGGCCCUGGGUUUGAUCCCCAGC
rnacentral:tRNA from 1 species